GACUUAGGAUUUGAGCAUCUUUCUGUUAUGCUGUUGCCCCACUCCUAUUGCAAUACUCCCCUUCUUAAGAAAGUUUUUCUAGACUAAUGUCUAGAUUAAACUUCUUUUCUUUGACAAUAAUGAUGCCAUGACUUGGACAAAAUGCCCAUUGCCUCUGGGUCCUGCUUUCUUCACCCAGUGCUGCCUUAUUGGACUCCUUGUGCCUCUCCUUGGCUGGGGAAAUCAGAAUACACAGUGAGCUUCAACUGAGAAUCUAGAAGAGAGUAGAUGGAAAAAUAUUUUUCCCUCCCCUCCAAAUGCAAGGAUAAUCUUACACGAGUCCAGGAGGAAGGCUCAUUCCACACUAAGUGUUCUGAAUCAAAAAGAUGAACAAAAUACAGUGCCAUUCUUCAAGGACUUCACAGUCUACAGGAAAGGGAUAUAGUUAAACAAAUAACUGCAGAAUUGGAAAUUGGAGCUGAUGUGCUUAGAAGUGUUUUGAACAAGGGGCAUGACUGUGACUCUCUCUGCUUUUGCAAGCUUCAGGAAAACCUUUACUCACAGGUGAGUUCCACCUGAGGUUAAUUUGAAG
rnacentral:lncRNA from 1 species